rnacentral:rRNA from 1 species
AUUGAACGCUGGCGGCGGGCCUAACACAUGCAAGUCGAGCGGAUGAAGGGAGCUUGCUCCUGGAUUCAGCGGCGGACGGGUGAGUAAUGCCUAGGAAUCUGCCUGGUAGUGGGGGAUAACAUCCGGAAACAGGCGCUGAUACCGCCUACGUCCUGCGGGAGCAAGUGGGGGGUCUUCGGACAUCUCGCUCUCAGAUGAGCCUAGGUCGGGUUAGCUAGUUGGUGGGGUAAAGGCCUACCAAGGCGACGAGUCGUAACUGGCCUGAGUGGAGGAUCAGUCACACGGGAACGUGGACAGGGUCCAGACGCCUACGGGAGGGAGCAGUGGGGAAUAUUGGACAAUGGGCGAAAGCCUUAUCCAGCCAUGCCGAGUGUGUGAAGAAGGUCUUCGGAGUGGAAAGCACGUUAAGUUGGGAGGAAGGGCAGUAAGUUAAUACCUUGCUGUUUUGACGUUACCAACAGAAUAAGCACCGGCUAACUUCGUG